GGUUAAGCGACUAAGCGUACACGGUGGAUGCCCUGGCAGUCAGAGGCGAUGAAGGGCGUGCUAAUCUGCGAUAAGCGCCGGUAAGGUGAUAUGAACCGUUAUAACCGGCGAUUUCCGAAUGGGGAAACCCAGUGUGAUUCGUCACACUAUCAUUAACUGAAUCCAUAGGUUAAUGAGGCGAACCGGGGGAACUGAAACAUCUAAGUACCCCGAGGAAAAGAAAUCAACCGAGAUUCCCCCAGUAGCGGCGAGCGAACGGGGAGGAGCCCAGAGCCUGAAUCAGCAUGUGUGUUAGUGGAAGCGUCUGGAAAGGUGCGCGAUACAGGGUGACAGCCCCGUACACAAAAGCGCAUGUGCUGUGAGCUCGAUGAGUAGGGCGGGACACGUGGUAUCCUGUCUGAAUAUGGGGGGACCAUCCUCCAAGGCUAAAUACUCCUGACUGACCGAUAGUGAACCAGUACCGUGAGGGAAAGGCGAAAAGAACCCCGGCGAGGGGAGUGAAAAAGAACCUGAAACCGUGUACGUACAAGCAGUGGGAGCACAGGUUUACCUGUGUGACUGCGUACCUUUUGUAUAAUGGGUCAGCGACUUAUAUUCUGUAGCAAGGUUAACCGUAUAGGGGAGCCGUAGGGAAACCGAGUCUUAACCGGGCGUUAAGUUGCAGGGUAUAGACCCGAAACCCGGUGAUCUAGCCAUGGGCAGGUUGAAGGUUGGGUAACACUAACUGGAGGACCGAACCGACUAAUGUUGAAAAAUUAGCGGAUGACCUGUGGCU
rnacentral:rRNA from 1 species